AUACGGAGGGUGCGAGCGUUAAUCGGAAUUACUGGGCGUAAAGCGCGCGUAGGCGGUUCGAUAAGUCUGAUGUGAAAGCCCUGGGCUUAACCUGGGAAUGGCAUUGGAUACUGUUGAACUAGAGUGCGGGGGAGGAGAGUGGAAUUCUCGGUGUAGCGGUGAAAUGCGUAGAUAUCGGGAGGAACACCAGUGGCGAAGGCGGCUCUCUGGACUGACACUGACGCUGAGGUGCGAAAGCGCGGGUAGCAAACAGGAUUAGAAACCCCAGUAGUCC
rnacentral:rRNA from 1 species